UCUUGGUCCAUUUAGAGGAAGUAAAAGUCGUAACAAGGUCUCCGUUGGUGAACCAGCGGAGGGAUCAUUACCGAGAGUCGCCGACUCCCAGAGAACCACCAAGACCACCCGUGAACCCAUAGGCACCGUUUCGUCGGCGGGCCCUCCCCCCCCCCGGGGGGGCAGGGCGCGCCGGGGACCCAGAGCAACACCCAAGCCUGACCAUGUCCGCGCGACCGGCCCCCCCGCGGGGGGUCCCCAGCGCCCGUCUGAGUGGAGGGGAUGCCCAGCGCAUCAGAACGAGUCAAAACUUUCAACAACGGAUCUCUUGGCUCUGGCAUCGAUGAAGAACGCAGCGAAAUGCGAUAAGUAAUGCGAAUUGCAGAACCCAGUGAAUCAUCGAAUCUUUGAACGCACAUUGCGCCCGCCAGCACUCUGGCGGGCAUGCCUGUCCGAGCGUCGUCAACACCCCUCGAGCCCGCCCCGCGGGGGCUCGGUGUUGGGGGCCGGCCCCCCCGGCCAAGCGCCCGGGCCGCCCCCUAAACGCAUCGGCGGCGGCGCCGCGCGUUCCCCCUGCGCAGUAGUUGCCCCGGCGAGAGCUCGCACCGGGAGCGCGGCGCGGCCACAGCCGCGAAGGCCUCUGGCCACGAAGCCGAAGUUGACCUCGGAUCAGGUAGGGAUACCCGCCGAACUUAAGCAUAUCAA
rnacentral:rRNA from 1 species